rnacentral:rRNA from 1 species
CCUGCGGAAGGAUCAUUAAAGAUUAUGAAUGAAUAGAUUACUGGGGGAAUCGUCUGAACAAGGCCUGCGCUUAAUUGCGCGGCCAGUUCUUGAUUCUCUGCUAUCAGUUUUCUAUUUCUCAUCCUAAACACAAUGGAGUUUUUUCUCUAUGAACUACUUCCCUGGAGAGCUCGUCUCUCCAGUGGACAUAAACACAAACAAUAUUUUGUAUUAUGAAAAACUAUUAUACUAUAAAAUUUAAUAUUCAAAACUUUCAACAACGGAUCUCUUGGUUCUCGCAUCGAUGAAGAACGCAGCGAAUUGCGAUAUGUAUUGUGAAUUGCAGAUUUUCGUGAAUCAUCAAAUCUUUGAACGCACAUUGCGCCCUCUGGUAUUCCAGGGGGCAUGCCUGUUUGAGCGUCAUUUCUCUCUCAAACCUUUGGGUUUGGUAGUGAGUGAUACUCGUCUCGGGUUAACUUGAAAGUGGCUAGCCGUUGCCAUCUGCGUGAGCAGGGCUGCGUGUCAAGUCUAUGGACUCGACUCUUGCACAUCUACGUCUUAGGUUUGCGCCAAUUCGUGGUAAGCUUGGGUCAUAGAGACUCAUAGGUGUUAUAAAGACUCGCUGGUGUUUGUCUCCUUGAGGCAUACGGCUUUAACCAAAACUCUCAAAGUUUGACCUCAAAUCAGGUAGGAGUACCCGCUGAACUUAAGCAUAUCAAAA